AACGAACGCUGGCGGCAUGCCUAACACAUGCAAGUCGAACGAGAUCUUCGGGUCUAGUGGCGCACGGGUGCGUAACGCGUGGGAAUCUGCCCUUUGGUUCGGAAUAACAGUUGGAAACGACUGCUAAUACCGGAUAAUGACGAAAGUCCAAAGAUUUAUCGCCAGAGGAUGAGCCCGCGUAGGAUUAGCUAGUUGGUGUGGUAAAGGCGCACCAAGGCGACGAUCCUUAGCUGGUCUGAGAGGAUGAUCAGCCACACUGGGACUGAGACACGGCCCAGAAUCCUACGGGAGGCAGCAGUGGGGAAUAUUGGACAAUGGGCGAAAGCCUGGUCCAGCAAUGCCGCGUGAGUGAUGAAGGCCUUAGGGUUGUAAAGCUCUUUUACCCGGGAUGAUAAUGACAGUACCGGGAGAAUAAGCUCCGGCUAACUCCGUGCCAGCCGCCGCCGUAA
rnacentral:rRNA from 1 species